CAACAAAAAAAUCACUGGCCUUCUUCCACGCACCUCCUAAACAUUUCCCCACUUUCUCCAUCUUGCUCCCUUCCUUCCUUCCUUCCUUCCUUCCUUCUUCCACGCACCACUACUUCGACAGCAGUUAAUUAAGGAUCGGUUUCCCUACAAUCCCGAUACGAUUUCAAGAGUUCAAUCCCAAUUCACUCAAACCGAAAUUUCCCAAAUCCAAAAUUAAAGAGUUCCCUUCAAUCCAAAUAGCAGAUUUUUUCGUGUUUUAGCUCUUCCCGGCGAACUUUUCUCGGCGGCAGCUUAUUAUCUGGCGAUAGUACUUCCCGGCAGCGUGUGGUUGAAUUAUCAAUUGGAGGAAAGGGUCGGGAAAGAUUGGAAAGGUAGAAUUGCUGGACUGGAACCCAUGAACUUCUUAACUAUUGCAACUCCACAUCUGGGUUCACAGAGGUCAUAGACAGCUUGAAAGGAUCUUCCAGUACGUGUUCCUGCCACCUGAGAAUAAUACUAGCAGAAAGAAACAUGAGCUUGUUGCCUGAUUUCCCCUUCCUAAUGGUAAUACUAAUUGAAUGAUUGAUUGCUUUUUGUGGUAACUGUUAAAAAGUGUAUUUGCGAAACAUUUAGCUUCUGAUUAUGAUGAAAAGUUCUGCAUGGGCUUGUUAGCUUUUGCCAACAAUUGUAACACCUCGAUACUAUCUGGCAUUGUACAUGGAUAACUGAUAUAUCAUGUAAAGAGUUACCAUUUUUCCUGUAAAAAUGAUUCAGAUAAGAACUUUAGUUUGCCAGUGGUUUUUAUUUUCUUCCACAUUCGUGUGGAAAGUUCUCCUGUCGUUCCGUGGCGCUUUAGCCAUUAGGUACUUGCAUAAAUGAGUAUAGAAAGUUGAUGUACUGUGUUCAGUUGACCUGCAUAAUAGUGUAUCCUUUGCUUCGCACUUCCCAAACCCAAUAAAUGGAAUUCAGCUUUGUGCAAAAUGCAGUUAAGGAUUCUCUUCAUUUUCGAUGGAAAUGUGUACUUAUCCAAAAAAUAUUUGUAGUACCAGAUUUUACUGCAGUUAUGGAUUGGAUCCUCUUGUCUGAAAUUAGGUUAAUUGCAACAGAUGUUUACUUUAGUGAUGAACUAGACCAAAUGAGCAAAUUUUUAUUAAUUUUUCUGGGUUGCUUAUUGCUGCAAUUGCUGGGUUGCUUAUUGCUUUCCUUGCAAAUUGGAUUUUGGCAUUCAUUGUCCUUGGAUUAAUACCCUUAAUAGGCCUUAACGGAUACAUCCAAAUGAAAUUUAUCAAGGGAUUCAGUGCAGAUGCAAAGGUUCUAUCUAUCUCUCUCUCUCACUCUUCCUCAUUCCUCAACGAGAGGAACAUAUUGUAUAUAUCAAGCUUAACUAAUUGACAUAUGUCUUUGUGGCCGGUGUCUUGCAGAACAAGUAUGAAGAGGCAAGCCAAGUUGCUAAUGAUGCAGUUGAGAGUGUAAGAACAGUUGCUUCUUUUUGUGCCGAGGAGAAGGUAAUGCAGUUGUAUGAAAAGAAAUGUGAGGCUCCUGUGGAAGCCGGUAUAAAGCAAGAAAUAAUUAGUGGGGCAGGUUUCGGAGUGUCAUUUGCUUUGCUAUUUUUUGUCUAUGCCAUCAGUUUCUAUGCAGAAGCUCAACUCACAGGGAAUGGAAAAACUACCUUUACCAAGGUCUUUCGCGUAAGUAUCUAUUUGUUUUUUAAAAUUCCAUAUAUAUGAAUAAAAUGUUAAAUGCAACUACGUACGUACUGCAUGUUUUCUUCGCUCUUACCAUGGCAGCGAUAGGAAUACCACAAUCUAGCUCCUUUGCUCCUGAUAGUAGUAAAGCCAAGAGUGUUGCUGCCUCAGUAUUUUCAAUCCUUGAUCGUAAGUCUAAGAUAAACCCAAGUGAUGAAUCUGGGAUGAUCUUGGAUAAAGGUGAAAUUGAGCUUCGGCAUCUGAGGUUUUCAUAUCCAACUAGACAUGAUAUUCAGAUUUUUCGAGAUCUAAGAUUGAGCUUCGUCGAACAGCAGUUAGACGAAUCAACUCAACAAGCGCUUCAUCCAAAACAUCCAGUGCACCGGAACUGUGUAGAUUAUGGUAAACAAGGGCAAUCCUGUUUUCUGCAACAUAAACCAAAUCCCAUUGAGAGAAUUUAGCAGCAAGUUGGAUUGCAUCAAUUGCCAAAACGGGUGAGUCCAAGGAAGACAACAACAAGUUGGAUUACUUCAAUUGCCAAAACUGGUGAGUCCAAGGAAGACAAUGAUCACUCUUGAACGCACAUUCUGAACAUCAUUAAAAAACCAGUGUGCAGUGGCCAACAAAGCUCUAUGUAUAGGCGUAUGACAUCAUACAAAUAUACAUUGUUCUAAUUUUAGUGUGUAGAUUUGAAAUAAUAUGGCACAUGUGGUUCUUUCUCUUUUGUUGUUAUUUGUUUUUCUACCGCGUCGACAACAUUGUAUAGGAUUUUAAGUUAAGAGAUAUCGAGACGUUUAUUUGGUAUGAUAGAAAUUAAAUUUGAUGUUAUAUAUAACAAAUAUAUAUAUAAUUUUUUACUAUUUUAUAUUUGUG